CCUGGUAGCUCAGAUGGUAAAGCAUCUGCCUACAAUGCAGGAGACCCGGGUUCAAUCCCUGGGUCAGGA
rnacentral:tRNA from 1 species